rnacentral:piRNA from 2 species
UAGAGGUCAUCGUGAAGGUACAUUUGUCA